UGUGUGUAUGUGUUAUGGAAUGUGUCUAAUGUAUUUUAUCAAAUAAAUCUGCAGUCUGUUUUAUCUAAUAUAUAUCUGCUCUCCUUUCUUUCCACAGGUAUUUAAUUCUUCUUACUGUUCUACUCUCAGAUGUUCCUGAAUGUAUCUCCAAACUAUUGUUUAGAAAUGGAGGGAAAAAAAUAGAAUAUGGGACAGAAGAGCCCUCUAUGUCCCAUGGAAGCCAUACAGAUCUUGUAGGAUGA
rnacentral:lncRNA from 1 species